GAUGAACGCUGGCGGCGUGCUUAACACAUGCAAGUCGAACGGAAAGGCCCAAGAUUGCUUGGGUACUCGAGUGGCGAACGGGUGAGUAACACGUGGGUGAUCUGCCCUGCACUUCGGGAUAAGCCUGGGAAACUGGGACUAAUACCGGAUAGGACGAUGGUUUGGAUGCCAUUGUGGAAAGUUUUUUCGGUGUGGGAUGAGCUCGCGGCCUAUCAGCUUGUUGGUGGGGUAAUGGCCUACCAAGGCGUCGACGGGUAGCCGGCCUGAGAGGGUGUACGGCCACAUUGGGACUGAGAUGCGGCCCAGACUCCUACGGGAGGCAGCAGUGGGGAAUAUUGCACAAUGGGCGCAAGCCUGAUGCAGCGACGCCGCGUGGGGGAUGACGGCCUUCGGGUUGUAAACUCCUUUCGCUAGGGAAGAAGCGUUUUUGUGACGGUACCUGGAGAAGAAGCACCGGCUAACUACGUG
rnacentral:rRNA from 1 species